CACUCUAGAAAAUGCCCCACUGCGGUUCUCAAGCUUGACUUCCGCAAAGCCUUUGACUCCGUUAGUUGGGAUAGUCUUGCAUGUAUCUUGUGUGCCCGUGGCUUCCCCCCUGUGUGGUGUGCUUGGAUCCACUCGAUCCUCUCAACCGGCCAUACUUCUGUCCUCCUCAACAGGGUCCACGGCGAUUGGAUCCGUUGCCGGAGUGGUCUCCGGCAAGGAGACUCUCUCUCCCCUUACCUGUUCAUCAUUGUCGCCGACGUGCUCCAACGUCUGGUA
rnacentral:rRNA from 1 species